AUUGAACGCUGGCGGCAGGCUUAACACAUGCAAGUCGAGCGGAGAUGAGGUGCUUGCACCUUAUCUUAGCGGCGGACGGGUGAGUAACACGUGGGCAACCUGCCUGUAAGACUGGGAUAACUUCGGGAAACCGAAGCUAAUACCGGAUAGGAUCCUCUCCUUCAUGGGAGAUGAUUGAAAGAUUGUUUCGGCUAUCACUUACAGAUGGGCCAGCGGUGCAUUAGCUAGUUGGUGAGGUAACGGCUCACCAAGGCAACGAUGCAUAGUCGACCUGAGAGGGUGAUCGGCCACACUGGGACUGAGACACGGCCCAGACUCCUACGGGAGGCAGCAGUAGGGAAUCUUCCGCAAUGGACGAAAGUCUGACGGAGCAACGCCGCGUGAGUGAUGAAGGCCUUCGGGUCGUAAAGCUCUGUUGUUAGGGAAGAACAAGUACGAGAGUAACUGCUCGUACCUUGACGGUACCUAACCAGAAAGCCACGGCUAACUACGUGCCAGCAGCCGCCGUAAGAC
rnacentral:rRNA from 1 species